ensembl:lncRNA PDE4B-AS1 PDE4B antisense RNA 1
AAAACUGAAGGGAUUCUUUUUAACAAAGGUGUAUCUCAGAACAGAAUCAACGUUACAUGUUUUCUUGGCCCUGUUAAGUAUGCUGUACAUCUGGAGGCAUUGCUUUUAAAGUAGAGCAUGGCUUUGCAAUACAAGAUUAACAUUCUUCCCAAAGUCUAUACGGCAUUGCGAAUAUCAUACAUUAGUAGGCCCCACAAAAUCUGCAUCUGUUCCUGCUGCUCAAGAUCAAAAACUUUUGAAUGCCAGGGAAACGUCUUAUUAAGUCCAGACUGCUUGACUCAACACUACCACAGCACACUGCCUUAAGGACAAUAUCCUUAAAAGAGAAAUUAUGCUUUAUGGAGAGCUUGUUGUAUGCUGGAAACUGGACCGAGCUCUGGCCAUGCCUUAUACUUUCUUUUAACUUAUUGUUCUGCCCUUUGAAUUCAAUAAAUAAAUACCUCAUUCAAAAAUGUA